GAUGAACGCUGGCGGCGUGCCUAAUACAUGCAAGUCGAGCGAACAGAUGAGAAGCUUGCUUCUCUGAUGUUAGCGGCGGACGGGUGAGUAACACGUGGGUAACCUACCUAUAAGACUGGGAUAACUCCGGGAAACCGGGGCUAAUACCGGAUAAUAUUUUGAACCGCAUGGUUCAACAGUGAAAGACGGUUUCGGCUGUCACUUAUAGAUGGACCCGCGCCGUAUUAGCUAGUUGGUAAGGUAACGGCUUACCAAGGCGACGAUACGUAGCCGACCGGAGAGGGUUAUCGGCCACACUGGAACUGAGACACGGUCCAGACUCCUACGGGAGGCAGCAGUAGGGAAUCUUCCGCAAUGGGCGAAAGCCUGACGGAGCAACGCCGCGCGAGUGAUGAAGGUCUUCGGAUCGUAAAACUCUGUUGUUAGGGAAGAACAAAUUUGUUAGUAACUGAACAAGUCUUGACGGUACCUAACCAGAAAGCCACGGCUAACUACGUGCCAGCCGCCGCGGUAA
rnacentral:rRNA from 1 species